rnacentral:rRNA from 1 species
UACGGGGGGGGCAGGCGUUGUUCGGAAUUACUGGGCGUAAAGGGCUCGUAGGCGGCCAACUAAGUCAGACGUGAAAUCCCUCGGCUUAACCGGGGAACUGCGUCUGAUACUGGAUGGCUUGAGUCCGGGAGAGGGAUGCGGAAUUCCAGGUGUAGCGGUGAAAUGCGUAGAUAUCUGGAGGAACACCGGUGGCGAAGGCGGCAUCCUGGACCGGCACUGACGCUGAUGAGCGAAAGCCAGGGGAGCAAACGGG